CGAAUGGCUCAUUAAAUCAGUUAUCGUUUAUUUGAUAAUACCUUACUACUUGGAUAACCGUGGUAAUUCUAGAGCUAAUACAUGCUGAAAAUCCCGACUUCGGAAGGGAUGUGUUUAUUAGAUAAAAAACCAAUGCCCUUCGGGGCUCCUUGGUGAUUCAUGAUAACUUUACGGAUCGCAUAGCCUUGCGCUGGCGACGGUUCAUUCAAAUUUCUGCCCUAUCAACUUUCGAUGGUAAGGUAUUGGCUUACCAUGGUUUCAACGGGUAACGGGGAAUUAGGGUUCGAUUCCGGAGAGGCAGCCUGAGAAACGGCUACCACAUCCAAGGAAGGCAGCAGGCGCGCAAAUUACCCAAUCCCGACACGGGGAGGUAGUGACAAUAAAUACUGAUACAGGGCUCUUUUGGGUCUUGUAAUUGGAAUGAGUACAAUUCAAAUCUCUUAACGAGGAACAAUUGGAGGGCAAGUCUGGUGCCAGCAGCCGCGGUAAUUCCAGCUCCAAUAGCGUAUAUUAAAGUUGUUGCAGUUAAAAAGCUCGUAGUUGAAACUUGGGCCUGGCUGGCGGGUCCGCCUCACCGCGUGCACUCGUCCGGCCGGGCCUUCCUUCUGAAGAACCUCAUGCCCUUCACUGGGCGUGCUGGGGAAUCAGGACUUUUACUUUGAAAAAAUUAGAGUGUUCAAAGCAGGCCUUUGCUCGAAUACGUUAGCAUGGAAUAAUAAAAUAGGGCGUGCGUUUCUAUUUUGUUGGUUUCUAGAGACGCCGCAAUGAUUAACAGGAACAGUCGGGGGCAUCAGUAUUCAGUUGUCAGAGGUGAAAUUCUUGGAUUUACUGAAGACUAACUACUGCGAAAGCAUUUGCCAAGGAUGUUUUCAUUAAUCAGUGAACGAAAGUUAGGGGAUCGAAGACGAUCAGAUACCGUCGUAGUCUUAACCGUAAACUAUGCCGACUAGGGAUCGGGCGAUGUUCUUUUUCUGACUCGCU
rnacentral:rRNA from 1 species